rnacentral:rRNA from 1 species
UGGGGAAUAUUGCACAAUGGGCGCAAGCCUGAUGCAGCCAUGCCGCGUGUAUGAAGAAGGCCUUCGGGUUGUAAAGUACUUUCAGCGGGGAGGAAGGGAGUAAAGUUAAUACCUUUGCUCAUUGACGUUACCCGCAGAAGAAGCACCGGCUAACUCCGUGCCAGCAGCCGCGGUAAUACGGAGGGUGCAAGCGUUAAUCGGAAUUACUGGGCGUAAAGCGCACGCAGGCGGUUUGUUAAGUCAGAUGUGAAAUCCCCGGGCUCAACCUGGGAACUGCAUCUGAUACUGGCAAGCUUGAGUCUCGUAGAGGGGGGUAGAAUUCCAGGUGUAGCGAUGAAAUGCGUAGAGAUCUGGAGGAAUACCGGUGGCGAAGGCGGCCCCCUGGACGAAGACUGACGCUCAGGUGCGAAAGCGUGGGGAGCAAACAGG